rnacentral:rRNA from 1 species
GACGAACGCUGGCGGCGCGCCUAACACAUGCAAGUCGAACGAGCGAGAGAGAGCUUGCUUUCUCAAGCGAGUGGCGAACGGGUGAGUAACGCGUGAGGAACCUGCCUCAAAGAGGGGGACAACAGUUGGAAACGACUGCUAAUACCGCAUAAGCCCACAGGUCGGCAUCGACCAGAGGGAAAAGGAGCAAUCCGCUUUGAGAUGGCCUCGCGUCCGAUUAGCUAGUUGGUGAGGUAACGGCCCACCAAGGCAACGAUCGGUAGCCGGACUGAGAGGUUGAACGGCCACAUUGGGACUGAGACACGGCCCAGACUCCUACGGGAGGCAGCAGUGGGGAAUAUUGCACAAUGGGGAAAACCCUGAUGCAGCGACGCCGCGUGGAGGAAGAAGGUCUUCGGAUUGUAAACUCCUGUUGUUGAGGAAGAUAAUGACGGUACUCAACAAGGAAGUGACGGCUAACUACGUG